rnacentral:rRNA from 1 species
ACGUAGGGUGCGAGCGUUAAUCGGAAUUACUGGGCGUAAAGCGUGCGCAGGCGGUUUUGUAAGACAGAGGUGAAAUCCCCGGGCUCAACCUGGGAACUGCCAUUGUGACUGGAGGGCUGGAGUGCGGGAGAGGGGGGGGGAAUUCCGGGUGUAGCAGUGCCAUGCGUAGAUAUCCGGAGGAAUAGCAGUGGCGAAGGCAAACCACUGGGCAUUCACUGACGCUGAUGCGCGACAGCGUGGGGAGCAAACAG